ensembl:lncRNA novel transcript, antisense to YIPF6
GUCAUCGCGUGACGGCCGCGUCACCUAAUGGCGCCUGGCAAUGGCCGGCGGCCCCGGCCCUUCGCUGUCCCUCGGUCCUCGGGGUGUCAGGGACAGCUCCGCGUCGCCUUGUCUCGCUUCUUCGGGGCCACGGGUCCAGCUAGACACGCUUAGCCUUUAACACUCAAGCCGGAUUCUCAGACCGCUCCUUCGCUCUCGCGACCACGGCUGCCCUCUCCACCCCACCGACUCCCGCCCAUUUCCCGUUCUCAGGAGUUGGCUUGGAGUGCCAGACCCUCGAUCACGGCACCUCUAGGAAAGAGCCUGCCUCUCUUCCUUCCCUUCCCCGGCUACCGAGCGACUUCAAGUUUUCGUGCGCCGGAAUGACGGGCUCAAGCCCCAACCUCCUGCUCCCUCCGCCGCCGCCCCUGCCCCUCUGACUCUGCGCCUCUCCUGCUGCUCGCAAGCCUCUUCCCACUUCCUUGACUUUUAUAAACCUCUCUACUGCCUCCACGCCGACCCUCCAGGAUUACUUUUCUCCAGCACCUCUGGCGGUGGGCAGGGAAGAAGCUUCAUUGGCCAAACUUGUUAAUCCCACUUCAAAAGUUGCUAAACCAUUUGGAGCAAGUACUGAAAAUGUUCAGGGUCUAAAAGAGAGUAACUAUUGUGACAAUAACUUAAAAGAUAAUCUUCAUGUCCCAA